CCCAGAACUCCAUUAUCCCUCAGAGGAUGGGAGCUCAUCAAACACACAUCAGAUAGGAGACAAUCUGUUAACCAGAGAUGGCCCCAGUGAAGACUGCCUAUCUCAGAGAUGGCUUCACUCUUCUCUGCUCAAGGUGCAAUGUGACUACUCCCUCAAGCUCCUGAUGCCAUGACUUCCACAUCAUGAUAGCCUGUAUCCUUGAACUGUGGACAGAGACAAAAUCCAAACCAAACAUGGCAUUUUCUGAGAAUCUUGCAUUUCUCAUUCUGUGGACAAAAUAGAAGUAUGCAUUUGCCACAGUGUGCAUGUGGAGGCCAAAGGACAAUUCACAGCUUGUACAGUGUCUUCCAUCACCAAGGAAGCUCACCAGCAGGGAGAGAAUUUGUCGGCCAGUUUGUUUUACGUACUAGGUUCAGCUUCAGAGACAUCCGGAUUUAAAGCCAUAAGAUGGGAGGGUCUCUGGGGACAGAGAUGAGUUUCUCAAGAAGAGAGGAGAUGGUGGCACCUGAGACUGUGUCCUGACCUCUCAACCAGAGGCAAGCAUGCUGUAAUUAAGGUUUGUCAUAUUUAUGCAAAGCUUCUCUAACACACAGAAAGAUGUGCUUAAAGUUCUACAACCAUGGGUCUAUAACCACCAAUAUUUUAAUGUGAAAUUUAGCUCCUCAGCCUUGUGCGUGUGAAGCCUUGCUUCCUGGAUGAUGGUGUUAUUCUGCAAGGCUGGGAAACAUUUAGGAGGACAGACUCUACUGGAGGAAGUGGGUCAGAAAAUGUGUGAAGCCUUGAAUCUUUUAGACCAUCUUUGCCUCUUAUAUGUUAUCUGCUUCUUGAAACACCCAGAUGUAAGCAAGUAGACACAGGUUCCUGCUACUACAGUCCCAAGCCAUCCCUUCCCUGCCAUGGUAGACUGAUAUGUAUUUUGCCUUAAACCGUAUGUAAUACCUUCCUCCUUUAUGGUGUUCCAUUGUCACAGCAUUAAGAGAGGUGAUGAGUACCCGGGCAUUGCUGGCGCAAGCUUUUAACCCAGCACUCUGGAGACAGAGAUAGACAGAUCUCUGUGAGUUCAAGCCCAGCCUUGUC